ensembl:lncRNA
AAAAAACUGUGGCGUACAUUCAAGCCUCCAGCUAAACACGGUGCUUUGACGGCUCGCUCCAGACCGUACCUGACAUUUGUCCCCAGUCCGACCGGAUGCAGCAUGAAAAAUUCACAGAGACGAGGAGCUGGAAGAAAUCGACAUUUCUCCUGCGACUUUCACUUCGGGGAGAGCAAGAUAUUAGAGGUCAAGGGAACAGCAGGGCCUUUAUGUCAUGCCGGUUGGCCUGAUACCAGAGAGAUUCCAACUAGGAUGGUGGAGAAAACGACACCUGCUCUUAAUUAUCUGAAGAGGACCAGAGGGCCGCAGUAACUCCGACAGGGGUUCGUGCAGCCGGAGAGAGACAUGGAGGACUAAGUGAUCACUUUAUAAAUGAAAG